rnacentral:rRNA from 1 species
CUGCCCUUGGGUCCGGCAUAACCCCGGGAAACUGGGGAUAAUUCCGGAUAACGCACAUAUGCUGGAAUGCUUUAUGCGUCAAAUGGAUUCGUCUGCCCAAGGAUGGGUCUGCGGCCUAUCAGGUAGUAGUGGGUGUAAUGUACCUACUAGCCGACGACGGGUACGGGUUGUGAGAGCAAGAGCCCGGAGAUGGAUUCUGAGACAUGAAUCCAGGCCCUACGGGGCGCAGCAGGCGCGAAAACUUUACAAUGCGGGAAACCGUGAUAAGGGGACACCGAGUGCCAGCAUCAUAUGCUGGCUGUCCGGGUGCGUAAAAUACACCUGUUAGCAAGGGCCGGGCAAGACCGGUGCCAGCCGCCGCGGUAACACCGGCGGCCCGAGUGGUGAUCGUGAUUAUUGGGUCUAAAGGGUCCGUAGCCGGUUUGGUCAGUCCUCCGGGAAAUCUGACGGCUUAACCGUUAGGCUUUCGGAGGAUACUGCCAGGCUUGGAACCGGGAGAGGUAAGAGGUACUACAGGGGUAGGAGUGAAAUCUUGUAAUCCCUGUGGGACCACCUGUGGCGAAGGCGUCUUACCAGAACGGGUUCGACGGUGAGGGACGAAAGCUGGGGGCACGAACCGGAUUAGAUACCCGGGUAGUCCCAGCCGUAAACGAUGCUCGCUAGGUGUC